GCCGCAGCCAUGAGAAUGCUCAGGCUUCAGAAGAGGCUCGCUGCUCGUGUCCUCCGCUGUGGGAAGAAGGAGGUCUGGUUGGACCCCAAGGAGACCAAUGAACUCGUCAAUGCCAACUCCCGUCAGCAGAUCCGGAAGCUGAUCAAAGAUGGGCUGAUCAUCCACAAGCCAGUGACUGUCCAUUCCCGGCUCAAGGCCAGAAAAGCACCUUGGCCCGCCGGAAGGGCAGGCACAUAGGCAUUGGUAAGCCAAAGGGUACAGCCAAUGCCCGAAUGCCAAGACGGUCACGUGGAUGAGGAGAAUGAGGAUCCUGCGCUGGCUGCUCAGGAGACACCGGGAAUCGAGGAAGAUUGAACACCACGUGGUUCACAGCCCGUACCUGAAGGAGCAGGGGAAUGUGUUCACAAACAAGCGGAUUCUCAUGGAACGCAGCCACAGGCUGAUGGCAGACAAGGCCCGCAAGAAGCUCCUGGCUGACCAGGCUGAGGCCCGCAGGUCUAAGACCAAGGAAGCACGCAAGCGCCGUGAAGAGCACCUGCAGGCCAAGAAGGAGGAGAUCUUCAUGACUUUGUCCAAGGAGGAAGACACCAAGCAAUAAAAGCUCCCCCUUUGUCUGUACAUACUGGCCUCUGUGAUUGCAUAGAUCAGCCAUUAAAAUAAAA